CAGAGUUCGUGCCCUCACGGGUAGAUCUCCCACCCUGUGUUAUUAUACCUUUGUUGCUUUGGCGGGCCGCCCUCGGCUACCGGCCCCGGCUGGUACGCGCCCGCCAGAGGACCCCAAACUCUGAAUGUUAGUGUCGUCUGAAUCUUUUGCUUCAAUGAAAUA
rnacentral:misc_RNA from 1 species